UACGUAGGGGGCUAGCGUUGUCCGGAUUUAUUGGGCGUAAAGAGCGUGUAGGCGGCUUGGAAGGUCAGCUGUGAAAACUCGAGGCUCAACCUCGAGACGUCGGUUGAAACCACCUGGCUAGAGUCCGGAAGAGGAGAGUGGAAUUCCCGGUGUAGCGGUGAAAUGCGCAGAUAUCGGGAAGAACACCCGUGGCGAAGGCGGCUCUCUGGGACGGUACUGACGCUGAGACGCGAAAGCGUGGGGAGCGAACAGG
rnacentral:rRNA from 1 species